rnacentral:misc_RNA from 1 species
AAUAAGUGUUUUAUUGCACUUUUUUAAAUCCAUAUCCACCUUGUGUGCAAUGUCAGCCGUUUUCUUUAUGAAAGCGGCCAAACAUCAACUUAUUUUUUAACUGUCAGCCUGGAAACUAUUAUGAAUAAACAAUUCAAAUACAACUUUCAACAACGGAUCUCUUGGCUCU